CCGUUAUUUCAGCUAAACUCUCCAGCAUCUUACAUGUUGUGCAUUUGGACGUGUGUACAAGAAGAAUACAGGCUGUGAAUUCACUUCAGUUGAAUGAGCAAAAAAGCGCACUUGGGAGCUACAAUCCGAUCAACCAAGACAUACCUGGCUGGGCACAAACUGGUCGAAUCAACGUUGUUUUAACUAAUUAACACUGAUGACGGCGGCACGAGGAAGCUGGAUGGUUCGGACGGAAUGGAGACGCCAGAUACAAUGACAGGGCGAGAAGGGUGACGGUUACCGGAGUGGAGUGAUAUGGAAGGUGGGAUGGACGGGAUUGAGUCUGAUGGCACAUGGCACAUGUCACAUGGAGCAUAAAAAAAUAAAAAAAAUAAAAAAAUUAAAAUACAAAAUAAAAAA